GAUGAACGCUGGCGGCGUGCUUAACACAUGCAAGUCGAACGGGAUCCAAGGGGUGCUUGCACUUUUUGGUGAGAGUGGCGAACGGGUGAGUAACACGUGAGUAACCUGUCCUUUUCUUUGGGAUAAGCAUUCGAAAGGGUGUUUAAUACCUUAUGUUCUGUCUGCCUCGCAUGGGGUGGGUGGGAAAGGCUUUGGCCGGAUUUGGGUGGGCUCGCGGUCUAUCAGCUUGUUGGUGGGGUGAUGGCUUACCAAGGCUUUGACGGGUAGCCGGCCUGAGAGGGUGGUCGGUCACAUUGGGACUGAGAUACGGCCCAGACUCCUGCGGGAGGCAGCAGUGGGGGAUAUUGCACAAUGGGCGAAAGCCUGAUGCAGCGACGCCGCGUGGGGGAUGAAGGCCUUCGGGUUGUAAACUUCUUUUGCUCUGAGCAAGGCAUGCCAGUGGGUGUGUUGAGUGUAGGGGUUGAUUAGCGCCGGCUAACUACGUG
rnacentral:rRNA from 1 species